ACCUUUUAUAUGAUCAUUAUAAAAAAUAAGAGAAUAACAGGUACGAAAUAAUUCCAACUCAUACUAUAGGACAGCAACACAAAAAUACAGUUUGAAAGGGGAGUGAUUAAAAUAUCCAUAAAGAAAAAGAAA